UCGGGAAUUUUGGGCAAUGGGCGAAAGCCUGACCCAGCAACGCCGCGUGAGGGAUGAAGUAUUUCGGUAUGUAAACCUCGAAAGAAUGGGAAGAAUAAAUGACAGUACCAUUUAUAAGCUCCGGCUAACUACGUGCCAGCAGCCGCGGUAAUACGUAGGGAGCAAGCGUUGUUCGGAUUUACUGGGCGUAAAGGGCGCGUAGGCGGCGCGGUAAGUCACUUGUGAAAUCUCUGAGCUUAACUCAGAACGGCCAAGUGAUACUGCUGUGCUAGAGUGCGGAAGAGGCAACCGGAAUUCUUGGUGUAGCGGUGAAAUGCGUAGAUAUCAAGAGGAACACCUGAGGCGAAGGCGGGUUGCUGGGCCGACACUGACGCUGAUGCGCGAAAGCCAGGGGAGCAAACG
rnacentral:rRNA from 1 species